UUUGUUGGAGUUGUAAUGAAUUGCGCUGCAGAGCUUAAGCUUCUUCUAGGAGCUCUUUUAAUUCUUUGCAGUCUAGCUACUCUUCUACAGUUUCUUCCUUCUCGUUUUUCUAUCUCCACCUCUGAUCUCCGCUUCUGUAUCUCCAGAAUCACCACCACCACCACUACUACUACCACCACCACCACCUCCUCCUCCAUCGCUCACCCUGAAACGCCACUAAAUUCCUCUCUUGCUACUCCUCCUAACCCACUACCCUCCCCUGCUCAAACAGGCGAACAAGUUCUUGACAAUGGGAUUAUUAAG
rnacentral:lncRNA from 1 species